GAUGAACGCUGGCGGCGUGCCUAAUACAUGCAAGUCGAGCGAACAGACGAGGAGCUUGCUCCUCUGACGUUAGCGGCGGACGGGUGAGUAACACGUGGAUAACCUACCUAUAAGACUGGGAUAACUUCGGGAAACCGGAGCUAAUACCGGAUAAUAUAUUGAACCGCAUGGUUCAAUAGUGAAAGACGGUUUUGCUGUCACUUAUAGAUGGAUCCGCGCCGCAUUAGCUAGUUGGUAAGGUAACAGCUUACCAAGGCAACGAUGCGUAGCCGACCUGAGAGGGUGAUCGGCCACACCGGAACUGAGACACGGUCCAGACUCCUACGGGAGGCAGCAGUAGGGAAUCUUCCGCAAUGGGCGAAAGCCUGACGGAGCAACGCCGCGUGAGUGAUGAAGGUCUUCGGAUCGUAAAACUCUGUUAUUAGGGAAGAACAAAUGUGUAAGUAACUAUGCACGCCUUGACGGUACCUAAUCAGAAAGCCACGGCUAACUACGUG
rnacentral:rRNA from 1 species